rnacentral:lncRNA from 10 species
CUGCUGCCCGGCCAGCGGGCCAAAUGGCCACACGGGAAGGAGGGACAGAGGAGAAAAUAGUAGGCAAAGUGUUGGCGUGAGGCAGGUGGUGGAUGAGGCAGUCGCAAAGAGAAAGGAUUGCAACAUCAGGGAGGAGAUGAAAGGCCUCAUAUCAUUUUGCAGCCAACAAGAAACCUGAAGGAACUAAGUUUGGCUCUAUUUCUACAGCUUGUGAAAAGCUGAGAAUGGAAGCAAUGACUGGGCUAAUUCUGGACAAAAUUUUUUAAAAUGAUUUUUGUCAGAGGAGCCCAGAUCUUUGCCUCAAUUCUUUGCUUUUGUCUAAAUUGCUCAUUUUUCCAAAUUUCUGUAAGUAAUUUUUUAGGUGAUGUGAAUUGAUUUGCCUUUGGUAUACCGGACAAGAUUUUAUUUUAUUUUAUUAUUUUAUUUUUGAGACGGAGUUUCGCUCUUGUUGCCCAGACUGGAGUGCAGUGGUGUGAUCUCAACUCACUACAACCUCUGCCUCCCGGGUUCAAGCGAUUCUCCUGCCUCAGCCUCCUGAGUAGCCGGGAUUACAGGUGCCCGCCACCACACCGAGCUAAUUUUUGUAUUUUUAGUAGAGAUGGGGUUUCACCACGUUGGCCAGGCUGGUCUCAAACUCCUGACCUCAGGUGAUCCAUCUGCCUCAGCCUCCCAAAGUGCUGGGAUUACAGGUGUUAGCCACCGUGCCCAGCCUGGACAAGAUUAUUUGAGACAUCUCUGGUGGCCUAAAUCGUGAAGGGUUUGCCCCCUGUUUCCUUUUGUCCACUUUCCUCAUAGUGCCAUUUUGUUUUGUGCCUUCACUCAGCCUGAACUGGCUGGUGAAAGUGGCACAGCCAACUGUUGCCAGACAGUGAUGUCCUGUCAAAUUCCUGUACCUGCAUGGGUACGUUCUCAUGUUCUCUGAAAUAUUAUUCCUUUCCCUUAACAGAGCUCACCAGACAAGAAACAGAAAAGUGUUUUGAGUACUUUGAAUCAAAAGUGGUCUCUGAAUUUAAGGCAUUUUUAUUAUUUUAUGUGUUAUUUGUAGUUCAAAAGGGUCUUCCUAUUCAUCAUAGUAUUAGAGGCAUUUGAUGGAAAAGUAGUGUGCCAAGGUGAUUAGUGACAACAACAACAAAAGCAACUUAUUUUUGAGCCUGUGAAAGGCCCUCUUCUAGACACUUUAUACAACAGCUGUAUCCUUAUUGAUAGCCCUGCAAGGUAAGUAUCAUUUUUCCCAUUGUGGAGAAGUACUGAAUCUCGGGAGGGUACUGGGCCAAGGUCACCAGCCAAUCAGUGACAGAUAGGAAAUUCAAACCUAGGUUUGUUGGGUUCUUUCUACUAUACCAGGCAACACCAUUUGUAAAUGUGAACUCAUUCUGAGCAUCAAAGGACAAUUGGCUUUACUUUGAAGAAACUCAAUUCCAUAUUGGUUUCAGUUAUUUUAACAAAUUCAACAUGCUUAAUUAUCUCAGAAUUUUUACAGAAUAGUAAUUGUUAAUUCCCUGGUAGAAUUAGGCUUGCCUGCAACUAUUUUUAAUUCCUUAACAUCUUCUAGGUAUUCCACUUGACCCGAUGCUUUUCCUUGAUGUGGUCUGGAGAAUGUGAUCUAUAGAAACAAUGUAUAAGAAUAUCCUGGCCGGUGGCUCACACCUGUAAUCCCAGAACUUUGGGAGGCCGAGGCGGGUAGAUCACGAGGUCAAGAUAUCGAGACCAUCCUGGCCAACAUUGUGAAACCCUGUCUCUAUCAAAAAUACAAAAAUUAGCUGGCCAUGGUGGCGCAUGCCUGUAGUCCCAGCUUCUCGGGAGGCUGAGGCAGGAGAAUCGCUUGAACCCAGGAGGCAGAGGUUGCAGUGAGCCGAGAUCGCACCAGCCUGGGGGACAGGGCAAGACUCUGUCUC